GAUGAACGCUGGCGGCGUGCCUAAUACAUGCAAGUCGAGCGAACGGACGAGAAGCUUGCUUCUCUGAUGUUAGCGGCGGACGGGUGAGUAACACGUGGAUAACCUACCUAUAAGACUGGGAUAACUUCGGGAAACCGUAGCUAAUACCGGAUAAUAUUUUGAACCGCAUGGUUCAAAAGUGAAAGACGGUCUUGCUGUCACUUAUAGAUGGAUCCGCGCUGCAUUAGCUAGUUGGUAAGGUAACGGCUUACCAAGGCAACGAUGCAUAGCCGACCUGAGAGGGUGAUCGGCCACACUGGAACUGAGACACGGUCCAGACUCCUACGGGAGGCAGCAGUAGGGAAUAUUCCGCAAUGGGCGAAAGCCUGACGGAGCAACGCCGCGUGAGUGAUGAAGGUCUUCGGAUCGUAAAACUCUGUUAUUAGGGAAGAACAGAUGUGUAAGUAACUGUGCACAUCUUGACGGUACCUAAUCAGAAAGCCACGGCUAACUACGUG
rnacentral:rRNA from 1 species